rnacentral:misc_RNA from 1 species
AAAUAAACCCGAUGGAAAUGGAAAGCCCGCAAGCGAGGUACGAGUGCGGACUUGGAAUAAACAGCGGGACUAUCG